UCCAUCCCAACCUUCUCUUCCACCAACAGCAAACCAGACUAUCCAGUGUGAUGUUGUUUGGUGUGGUGAUGGGGAAUGUGUGAGUAAUGGAAGUGGACAUAUCUGCCAGUGCCACCAAGGCUCUGAGAAUUUGUUUAAUUCCUCUGGCCUUGCUUGUUUUAAACCAUGCUACCUCGGAGCUGACUGUCAGGGUUUGAAUUUGUCGGCAAAUCCACCGCAACAGCCACCC